UCACUUUUUUUCUCACCGCUAAAAGCUCAAUGAGCUUCGAAUCCCCCAAUCCCUUUCACUUUCACUUUCUUCUCUCUGGCUGAUCCCGUCGCGGGUUCUUCAUCGUUGUCUCUGUCGAUGUAGAUCUAAUCGUCAUCACGAGGGAUCUCAUCGACAAGGCGCACAAGUGGACCAAAGUCCAGCGCCCCCUCUCAUCCUCGACACUGAUAUCCAGGCUCGGUAGUGAUAAAGAUCCCGAGAUAUUUGUUCUAGAAGAUAAAACCCUUAUAUUUAAAAGCAAUGGCUGGACGUAGAAACAACAAUGGGAAAAGAUCUUAUUCUCACUUUGAUCAUUCCUGGGCCUGAGGACACUAUUUUUCGUUGUUUAUGCCCAGGAAAGAAGAUAGGGAGCAUCAUUGGGAGGGGUGGUGAGAUUGUGAAGGAAUUGAGAUCUAAAACCAUUUUGCAAAUUACUGUAUGUGGUUGUGAUGAGCAUGUCAUAACCAUUUUGCAAAUUACUAGUUUUGUUGUUGACAAUAUAGCUAAAUUAAUUUAUUAUAACGUACUAUUUUCUACUAA